UACGAAGGGGGCUAGCGUUGCUCGGAAUCACUGGGCGUAAAGGGUGCGUAGGCGGUGCUCUAAGUCGGAUGUGAAAACUCUGGGCUCAACCCAGAGCCUGCAUCCGAAACUGGAGUGCUAGAGUUCUGGAGGGGGUAGCGGAAUUCCUGGUGUAGCGGUGAAAUGCGUAGAUAUCAGGAGGAACACCGGUGGCGAAGGCGGCUACCUGGACAGAAACUGACGCUGAGGCACGAAAGCUAGGGGAGCAAACAGG
rnacentral:rRNA from 1 species